GAUGAACGCUGGCGGCGUGCCUAAUACAUGCAAGUCGAGCGAACAGACGAGGAGCUUGCUCCUCUGACGUUAGCAGCGGACGGGUGCGUACCACGUGGAUAACCUAACUCUAAGACUGGGAUAACCACGGGAAACAGGAGCUAAUACCGGAUAAUAUAUUGAACCGCAUGGGUCCAUAGUGAAAUACGGUUUUGCUGACAGUUAAAGAUUGACACGCGCCCCAUUAGUUGGUUGGUAAGGUAGCGGCUUACCAAGGCGACGAUGCUGAGACGACCUGAGAGCGUGAUCGGAUACCCUGUAACAGAGACACGGCCCAGACUCCGACGGGAGGCAGCAGUAGGGAAUCUUCCGCGAUGCACCAGUGCCUGACGUUGCAACGCCGCGUGAGUGCUGAUGGUCUUCUGACCCUAGAACUCUGUUAUUAUUGAAGAACAAAUGUGUAAGUAACUAUGCUCGUCUUGACGGUACCUAAUCAGAAAGCCACGGCUAACUACGUG
rnacentral:rRNA from 1 species